ensembl:lncRNA SYT9-AS1 SYT9 antisense RNA 1
CCCACUGAAGGUCAACUGGAGUCAGAGGACAAGAAACAGGAUGAAGGAAAGAAGACUGGACAGGAGGAAGAGAGAUGCAUAGUGAGAUGGGUUCCAGAGGUUCGGAGAGAGACAGGGCCUUGCUCUGUCACCCAGGCUGAAAUGCAGUGUUGCAAUCUUGGCUCGCUGUAGCCUCAAGCUCUUGGACUCAGGCGAUUCUCCUAUCUCAGCUUCCUAAGUAGCUGGGACUACAGGGCUCAGUGUGGUCAAAAGAAGACUAUAGAAUCAAGGAUGAAGAGAAGGAACACAGAAUAAAAGGACGUCUCAGCAGGAAGCUCUGUGACUACUAUGUCAAAUGAUGCCAUACAGUGAAGCACCUUGAAAGAUUGCUGGGAUAAGCUGACAGCAUGGCAGCCAAAAUAGUGACCCCAGGCUUGCAGGAAUUCUGUGCUUUCUGGAGGAAAUGGUCAUGGGUUUCCCAACCUGCCUUUUAAACUAAGGACCGAGCUGAAGAAGCCCCCGUCUUCCAGCGCAUGUUAUUCCCAUGACAGAUGCUAAAAGUUCAAGGGGAGAGCUACAAGAAGUGCGUUUUCCUGUGGCUACUUUCAUGUCUGGAUGCAAUGCCUAGACCUGCAUCCAUCUUGCGACCAACCUGAAGAUGAACAGAAAGGAAGGAAGGAUGGCCCAAUAGCCUGGGAAGAACUGGUGUUCCUGAUACCAUCAUUAACCACAGAAUCUACAAUCCCGGAACCCCCCAUCCUUAACCAUGGAAUCUACAAUCCUAUCUCUAGACCCUUUGUCCAGAUGCUACAGUUUCUUUGUUCAAUCUAGUUUGUGUCAGGAUUUCUGUUCAUUACAUCAAAAGUAUUCUAAUACUUGUAGCAAAGCAACUGGAGAAGUUUUCACUUUGUCUUUAACCAAAGAAGACUUCCAGGAAACAUCUCCUCAGUGGGUUUCUCCCUCACCACUGGAUUUUUAUCUCUGUACUAGUGCUUUGAUUUGUUUUAGGAGUCUCACCUCUCCACCUGUCAUAUUUCCCUGGCAGGCUCAUUUCUGCUAAUGCCCACAAUAUGUGUAUCAAUGAGCUUUCAACGUUAGGUACACAGCUCUUCAGGCAUGUAUAGCACAUUAAUCUGUCUGCUUCUAAGUGGUCUGUUGACAUGUUUGGGUGCCAGUUAUAUCUACAAGGCUGUGAUCAUUGUCCUGGGUUAUUCUGUUUGUUCUCUCUGCAGGAUGCAUUAGGACACCCAAGGCCAUGGCCAUCACUUACAUCUAGGAUUCAAUCUUAUCUCCUGUGAAUCACUGGAAACCUCCUGUCCUGGAACCCUUUUUUUCCACAUCCCACUGGAUGUCAUUCAUAGCAACUGGUCUUGUGGGUUGUCUAUUUUAUUGUGUUGUCUUACUCUUCCUCCUGGUAUCAGUUUUUAAAUCCUCUUGAUGAGAUCAGCUGAUCAGUCGCUAAGCAACAUAGUCCCCCAUGUCUUUGUAAGAUUCUCUGCACUCAUGGCUAGAAUGAUUUAUUCUGGUAUCUUAAGCUGUGUUUCAGAACCUCAUUCUAAAUAUCAACCUAUUCUUGUAAGUCCACUACUGAUCAUCUUUAGAUAUUCUUCAGUCUUCCAGAGUUCCAAAGGGCAGUAGGAAGAAGCAAUGAAAAUACCACCUGUAUUCUCACAUCUUUCAUUGUUCCACUCAAAAAAUACCACCAUGUUCACUUCUGGUGGAACGUUUAUGUCCAUGAGAAGCAGUGGCUUUGAAGAGUUUUGGCAGACUAUGGCGCCUUACUCAACAUUGGGAAGGUAUCUUGCCAUCAGACCUUUUGGGUCUCCAUGAAACUUCUUAUACCCCCUCUGGGAAAAGUCACUAACUGUGAUCUUACUGAGCUUCUAAACACAGCAUUUUUUUUACACUUAAGUGAGCGGGGGUCCUCCUCAUUUGUGCUUCUCUUCUUGUAAGGGUGACUUCCUCCCAGUAGGAUGAAUCUCAUGCCUAUUUGUGUUAUUUUGCUAAUUCCAGCUUCUUUUCUACUCAGGGGGGUUCCAACUCUUUUAAGGUCUCAUCUUCAGCACUUCUAAACUGUGGGAAACUAUGUGAAAACAAAUGGAGUGGCCAAACACACCAUUCAUCACUGUGCUUCUGGACAGCUGCAAGUCCAUACGUGUUCUGAUAAUUCAAUACAAGAAAGAAGAUUUGCUUGGGAAGGUCUGAAUGGCCCUAGCUUUGUUUGUUAACCAUAACCUCUACCAGCUGGAAACACAAUGCCCCACUAAUACUAACAGUGCCUGCUUGUCCAAACAGCAUUCUGGCCACUUACAGCAAUUGACACAAAUUCUAACAGGUAGAUGGGGCAAAGCAUUACCUUGUGUAAAACUGCUGCUAAAAUAUAUUCCUAGUGAGAAAGGUCAACUUGUGGGCUAAAGUCCUUGUCACCUCCUGAUCAGUUUUCACUUAGGGCACAGCAGUCUGCCAUUCACCAUUGGGAUCUCUGUGUGUUUCUUCUCUCUUAUGAAAGGACAUAUUGAGCGCUCUAGGACUUGGCUGCCUACAUCAAGUAGAGGGGGACCCUCAUGAUUCACUAAGGGGCCUCAGUUCUGAAUAUUUCUCAUUAUUCAAAAAUGCAAAGCCAUUGUCAUUACGUGGCAGUUUAUUGGAACCAAGGGAGGAAUUGGUCCCUUUUCAUGUUCUUCUCCUAAAUAGAGAAAAGGUAAUUAAAACUUGGAGCUUAAU